CCAAACCCAGACUAAGACCAAGAAGGCUAUCCCUAGAUCUGAUGCAGGAGAAGAUGCAUCUUUUGAGAUUUCUGCUGUUUGCGGCCUAAAUACCACUAAACCAUUCUCGGCCAUCGCAAAGAAAUUAACUGGGCGUCCUCUCAGGUUCUAGGUAGUAACAUCAGAUGGCUUGAAUCGUUAGAAAUUAGCUUCAAGGUAUGAGAUAUGCUCGCAAGCCUAUAACAAUUUUUCAACAUUUGAAUGGUCUGAAUUGCUUACUGGAAGUUCAGAAACUCUUCAAUUGUCAUCGAAUAGGUACUUUUGCCUGUUCAUAAUUCUUCAUCUUAUAGGACAACCAAUAAAAGGAGGUCCUUCAUCUUACCAGAAUUUACACAAGUUAAAAAGGACAAGAGAGAGAAGUAGACAUUUGGAUAGUAUUGUGUUUAAAUGCUAGAGAUGAUCGACUCAGUUCAUGCUUUUUUCUUCUUUUUUUGGAUGCAGCAUAGAAUUUUUGUUACAUGUCUAGGAGAAAUAACAUUGUUACAUUGAAGAGCUGAGACUAAAACCCUCUGACCAUU